GGCCUGAGAAAUGAAAUUUGGGAAAGCCCCAAUAGCGCCUUCCCCCUCUAAUUUAAUUUUGUUAUAUAUCUUUGUUUGUUUUAAAUUGAUUCUAACUUUAAUUAACUUAAUUAAAUCCCUUAGAAGAGGAACCAUUUUGUUUAUGAUCAUUUAUAAAACUCAAAUGAUUUUAUUUAGCGCUUAUAUGCAUUUUAAAUAUCUUAUCCUCUUUAAA
rnacentral:lncRNA from 1 species